rnacentral:rRNA from 1 species
UACAGAGGUCCCGAGCGUUGUUCGGAUUCACUGGGCGUAAAGGGUGCGUAGGUGGUGAGGUGUGUCGGAUGUGAAAUCUCGGAGCUCAACUCCGAAAUGGCAUUGGAAACUACCUUGCUAGAGGGUUGGAGGGGGGACUGGAAUACUUGGUGUAGCAGUGAAAUGCGUAGAUAUCAAGUGGAACACCAGUGGCGAAGGCGAGUCCCUGGACAACUCCUGACACUGAGGCACGAAAGCUAGGGGAGCAAACAGGAUUAGAAACCCCCGUAGUC